GGAUGCGAUCAUACCAGCACUAAAGCACCAGAUCCCAUCAGAACUCCGAAGUUAAGCAUGCUUGGGCGAGAGUAAUACUAGGAUGGGUGACCUCCUGGGAAGUCUUCGUGUUGCAUUCC
rnacentral:rRNA from 1 species